UACAGAGGUCUCAAGCGUUGUUCGGAUUCAUUGGGCGUAAAGGGUGCGUAGGCGGCUCGGAAAGUCGGUCGUGAAAUGCCGGGGCUCAACCCCGGGACUGCGUCCGAUACUCUCGAGCUGGAGGCAGGUAGGGGAGAUCGGAAUUCCUGGUGUAGCGGUGAAAUGCGCAGAUAUCAGGAGGAACACCGGUGGCGAAGGCGGGUCUCUGGGCCGAUACUGACGCUGAGGAGCGAAAGCGUGGGGAGCGAACAGG
rnacentral:rRNA from 1 species